GAAAAAUAUUAUUGCCAAUGAGACAACUCUCCACAAGAGCUAAAAUUACAUAGAAGUUAUAAUCUAUAGUUACAAAUAUAAAAUAGAAGAUGUGAUAUGAUUGCCAAUGAGACAACUAUCCACAAAAGACCAAAAUGACACAGACAUUAUCAACUAUAGGUCACCAUACGGCCUUCAACAAUGAGCAAAGCCCAUACCGCAUAGUCAGCUAUAAAAGGCCCCGAUUAGACAAUGUAAAACAAUUCAAACAAGAAAACUAACGGCCUUAUUUAGGUAAAAAAAA
rnacentral:lncRNA from 1 species